ACCUACUGUGUUAUGUAAUAUUAUGCAACAAUGCACGUUAUACUUUCUUCACUCAUCUUUUGCAGCUCUGUGUCAACUGGAAUGCGUUGUCAAGCAACGCAAGCACACGAAAGUAAACUCUAAAAAACAGCCACCUUGUCAGGCAUAACUGUCACGUGUUAUUACUUCACAAACACAAAGACUCGGUGCAAACUUGAAAGUAGUGUUUCCACUCAGACAGGUCUGGUCUAUUGGGUUUGAUGCAAACCGGAGGACGCCUCGCCUGUCAGUUAAAAUAAUAAUUACCUUUGAUUGGCAGCACAUCCUGUUUUGCCAGCGCGCGUUCACGACAGCUGCAACACCAACUUUGUUGCCCGAGGAGACUUCUCCUAGCUUGUGGACGACAUUUCAACAACGAACUGCUGCUCGCCGUGUGUUGGACGGCGAGUUGUGUGCCUCCGGUGGUCCAUUUGUUCCGCUUUUAGCGAGAAAAGCUGAGCUGAAAAGGGUAAGUAAAGUUAGCUAAAUAGGUAACUAGCUAGCUGGAGCUAAGUAGCCGUGCGCAUGCUGCAAGUUGGACACCUCCCAUGGACAGAAGACCCGAGCAGACGACAUGGAGCUAAGAUGAGCACAAUACACCGAGUACACGCCUCCGUCGCUAGCCGAGCGACACCACCGUGCACCGGCAGAUCGAGCAGCAUUCCGCCCCAAUGAUCCCAGACAGGAAGCUGGACUAGAAGCCAUCCAGCUGCUUCUUUACCGUGUGUGUGCGCGCGCGCUGGCUGCGCCAAUGGCGGAGUCCGGGGAGGACGGGACCAGCCUGGAUCACGCCGGGGACACGGCCGCGGUUGGCGUUCAGGCGCCUAGGAAGACGCCCGGCGAGGGCUCGGUUUCAAACGGCGACUGUGGCAUGUGUGACAACAACACGGUGGCGGGUUCUGGAGGACCCCAAGGCAGGGUGGAAGCGUCCGUCGACCCGGACAAUAAAACAGACAUCCCUCGCAGGAGCAGCAUCAUCAAGGAUGCCUCAAGGCAGCGUAAGGAGAGAAAGAAGACUGUGUCUUUCAGCAGCAUGCCCACAGAGAAGAAGAUUAGCAGCGCCAGCGACUGCAUCACUGCAAUGGUGGACGGCUCUGAGCUGAAGAAGGUGCGGUCCAACUCUCGCGUUUACCACCGCUACUUCCUGCUUGACGCCGACAUGCAGUCCUUACGAUGGGAGCCCUCAAAGAAGGAGUCGGAAAAGGCCAAGAUUGAUGUGAAAUCCAUUAAGGAGGUUCGGACGGGGAAGAAUACAGACACUUUUAGAACUAAUGGAACCUAUGAUCAGAUAUCUGAAGACUGUGCUUUCUCAAUUAUCUUUGGCGAGAACUAUGAGUCCUUGGACUUGGUGGCCAACACUGCAGAUGUAGCCAACACCUGGAUUACAGGACUGCGGUACCUGAUCUCCUAUGGGAAACAUACCUUAAACAUGAUAGAAAGCAGUCAGAAUAACAUGCGUUCUUCCUGGCUUGGUGAACUUUUUAAUGAAGCAGACUGUGACCGCAGUCAACACAUAACAAUAUGUGCUGCUGUGCAGCUCGUCAAAAAGUUGAACCCGGGACUUAAAAAUGUGAAAAUCGAACUGAAGUUCAAGGAACUUCACAAAGUGAAGGACAAAGUUGGUUCUAAAGUGACGAGAGACGAAUUUAUUGAGGUCUUUCAUGAUCUUUGCACAAGGCCAGAAAUUUAUUUUCUCUUUGUUCAGUUCUCCAGUAACAAAGAGUUUCUGGAUACAAAGGACUUGAUGAUUUUUCUGGAAGCUGAGCAGGGUAUGGCACAAGUAAGUGAGGACACCAGCUUAGAGGUCAUUCAGAAGUAUGAGCCAUCGAAAGAGGGUCGGCUCAAAGGUUGGCUCUCUCUGGAUGGCUUCACCAAUUAUCUUCUAUCUUCAGAGUGCCAUAUAUUUGAACCUGAACACAAAACUGUAUGCCAAGACAUGAACCAGCCAUUGUCCCACUAUUACAUCAACGCUUCCCACAACACGUACCUUAUAGAAGAUCAGUUCAGAGGUCCUUCUGAUGUGACGGGCUAUAUACGUGCACUCAAGAUGGGUUGUCGCAGUGUGGAACUGGAUGUGUGGGAUGGACCUGACAAUGAACCUGUCAUUUACACUGGUCACACCAUGACCUCGCAGAUUGUUUUCCGCGGUGUCAUUGACAUCAUCAACAAAUAUGCCUUUGUUGCAUCCGAGUUCCCACUGAUACUGUGUUUAGAGAACCAUUGCUCGUUGAUGCAGCAGAAGGUCAUGUUUCAGCACCUAAAGAAGAUCCUCGGAGAGAAGCUCAACCUAGAUCCUCCUAAGCCUGAAGACUGCUACCUCCCCUCUCCCUCAGAACUGAAGGGAAAGAUCCUGCUGAAGGGUAAGAAACUUAGCACCAAUUGUACUGCUUCUGAGGGGGAGGUGACAGACGAGGAUGAGGGGGCAGAAAUGUCUCAGCGAAUGAGCAUCGAUUGUGCAGAGCAACAAACCAUCGCACCCAAGAAGUUCCAGUUGUCAAAGGACCUUUCUGAUCUCGUCACAUUGUGUAAGUCUGUGGAGUUUAAGGACUUCCCAACGUCAUUCCAGUUUCAGAAGCAUUGGGAGCUCUGCUCUUUCAAUGAAGUCUUUGCCAGCCGCUGUGCGAGUGACUUUCCAGGGGACUUUGUUAAUUAUAACAAGAAGUUUCUAGCACGUGUUUCCCCCAGUCCCAUGCGGAUUGACUCUAGCAACAUGAACCCACAAGACUUCUGGAAGUGUGGUUGCCAGAUUGUGGCAAUGAACUACCAGACUCCUGGCCUCAUGAUGGAUUUAAACAUUGGCUGGUUCCGUCAGAAUGGGAAUUGCGGUUAUGUCCUGCGUCCAGCCAUUAUGCGGGAGCAGGUCUCCUAUUUUAGUGCCAACACAAAAGACUCAGUGCCUGGUGUUUCCCCACAGCUCUUACACAUUAAAAUCAUCAGUGGACAGAACUUCCCCAAACCCAAAGGCUCCGGUGCAAAAGGUGAUGUUGUAGAUCCUUACGUGUACGUGGAAAUACACGGUAUUCCCGCUGACUGUGCUGAGCAAAGGACUAAAACGGUCAACCAGAAUGGAGACAACCCUCUGUUUGAUGAGAGCUUUGAGUUUCAGAUCAACCUCCCUGAGCUUGCCAUGGUGCGCUUUGUGGUGCUGGACGACGACUACAUCGGCGACGAGUUCAUCGGCCAGUACACCAUCCCUUUCGAGUGUCUGCAGCCGGGCUUCCGCCACGUUCCGCUCCAGUCUCUCACGGGUGAGGUCCUGCCCCAUACCUUGUUGUUCGUUCACGUGGCCAUAACCAAUCGACGAGGCGGCGGCAAACCCCACAAAAGGGGUCUGUCAGUGAGGAAGGGCAAGAGGAACAGGGAGUAUGCCAGCAUGAGAGUGCUGCUGAUCAAGGCUCUGGAUGAUGUCUUCAAAACAGCCUUGCUGCCACUCAGAGAAGCUACAGACCUAAGAGAAAACAUGCAGAAUGCCAUCGUGUCCUUUAAAGAGCUGUGUGGCCUUUCAGCCGUGGCCAACCUCAAGCAGUGCAUUUUGGCCCUUGCGCCUCGACUGAGCGGUCCAGAUAGCAGCCCCCUUCUGGUGUUCAACCUUGCUGACCACUAUCCCGUCAUGGAAGCCCAAGCCCUGCUGCCAGAGCUUCUCAAGAAAGUUGUCACCACCUAUGACAUGGUGAUCCAGACCAGCAAGACUCUACUAGAGAACUCGGAGGGGGUCUACGAGAGGAUCCUGCAAACCCAGAAAGCAGCGAUGGAGUUCCACCAGAACCUCAAUGACCUGGCCGUGAAGGAAGGCCUGAAGGGCAGGAAGCUUCACAAGGCUGUGGAGAGCUUCACGUGGAACAUCACCAUCCUGAAGGGCCAGGCGGACCUCCUGAAGCAUGCCAGGAGCGAAGUCCAGGAGAACCUCAAGCAGAUCCAUUACGCUGCCCUGACAUGCAACCUGAGCAAAGGCAGAGCAGAUGGCGGCAGACGCAGCCUGGAGGUCAUUCCCGAGAAGGCUACGGCCGAGGAGGAGCUCACCACCACUGAUGACGACGACAACUGAAGAUGCUCCAGGACCUUCUCUCCACUCCCGUUGCCCUCGCCGUCGCUCCAGAGUAUUGUCACAUUCCACUAACAUGCCCAACGUAACAAUGUCCUAUUUAAAGUUACUGUAGGUCUUUCUGCUGAAGAAUCAACAGCGGAACCUCCAAAGCCCAGCACAUGAAGUAUGGUGCUGUCAUGCAUCAUAAAACCUUGAAGAAUUGGACAGGAAGCGUUUUAAGUAGCAUUUUUCAUACAAUAACGUGCGUAAGUAGAAGUUAACCACGGUAAAAUACAUUACGAUGAAGUGAAAUGUUCCAUGCAGGCUUCUGAAAAACUCCCACUUUUAUUCACAAUCGUCAGUUCAUCAAACAGGAAGUAGAUUCAAAUUCAGAUCCAAAUUAAAGGAAGUAGAAUUGAAAUCCCAGUUGAUCAUUUUGGCGUAUUCCAGAAUCAUGUUUGACCACAUGAUCCAUACAUGACUCUUGUACAUACUGUAUAUCAUAGUAUGUACAGUGUAUGUAUAGUACUGUAUAUAUAGCAUCUUGUACAUACUGUAUAUCAUAGUAUGUACGGUAUAUCAUAGUAUGUGCAGUAUAUGUAUAGUACUGUGUGUAUAUAUAGCAUCUUGUACAUACUGUAUAUCAGAAAUAUUAUUACUAUGCUCGUCAUGCACAUACUGUAUUUUACAGUAAUUAACAGCAAAUGUUUUUAGAGACCAGGGUGGUCCAAAGUACGGCUGCACGGUAGCAAUAAAAUCAUAAACCAAAAAUAACUCAGCAAAAAUGGGAAGAAAAGAAGCUGAAAUGUUGCUACUUCUGACUCAUAUUAAGGCUCUAAGUCUUGAAAUGUAUAUCAGGUUUUUUCUUAGCCUGUUUACAAAGUGUAAAAGUACAUAAAAAUAUGAAAGUGACGCAUCCUUUGAUUUUCGGUAUGAGUCCCUCUGUGGAAAAACAAUGAAGAAUAAACGCAACCUUCUAUAAAACAUGAAUUUCAUGUAUUCAAACAUACAAAUGAUGGAAAAUGGUUUGAAAAAGACUUCAUUUCCCAGAAUGCUUUACUUUAUCCCGAAGCAUUUUGACCAAUUCUUCCUGUUACAUGGCUGUAAGGAUUUAUUGCAUUGGUUAGUGUUCCCUCGCUCCGUCGCGCCUUCACCUUUUGCUGACUCGCUGUUUUUUUGUGCAAUUUUAGUGCCUUUUGGUUUUUGUUUUUUUUGUUUGUUUGUUUGUUUUACAGCAUAUGAAUGCUGUUACAGCACGAGCCUGACCCUUUAAGAAGAAUUGCUCUACUCUCUUGGCUGUAGACCAAUGUCAGUCAAUGUCCUUCAUACUGUCUCUUCUUCUUGUCAUGGCUAGCAAACGAGCUAACUGUGUGAGCUGCUUUCUAACAAUAGAAGAACCAGAAGAAGCUAGCUGCGUGUGACUCUGAACGCUGUAUGGUUGCAAGUUUCCCUGACAAAAACCACAAUGUCGACCAAAUGUUCUGCACCCCAAAGGUAGAGGAAGCCAGCCAUCGCACAAAAAGUUGGACUUGUGGACAUGCUGAAGGCGGCUGUAGUGUGUCUUUAUGGAAUACUGUCGUUUAAUCUUGGAUUCAUGGAGGACUACAAGGAGGAGGAAAAUACGAUGAUGGGAGCAAUAUGUUUUAGCAAGGAUACAGACAUCAUGCUACAGCCCAACGGUGCCAGGACGCUGAGGCACGGUCAGAUGAGUGAAAUAUGUGUGAGUCACUUAAUCAUUUCUCGUGUCCAACCUGGUAGGUUGAAAUGUGAACUUUGAGUGUUUAAACGAGAGAAAUGUGAUCAAAUUUUAAUGCUUGUCUGAGAAAAGUGUAUGAAGUUUAUGGUGAGGGCUUUUACAGCCUUAAAAUACACAGUAUAGAAUCUUCUUAACAGUGUAGAAAUAUAUAGUUGGCUACUUUGUGGAUUUCACUUACUGCGGGCUAUUUUGGGAACCUGUCCCCGCGAUAAACGAGGGAACACUAAUGCUCAUUUUGAACUGAGCAGCCAGACACUUCCCUACGUCACAAUAAGUUCCAUUUCCUGUGCUAUGGCUAUCAUCGCACUUUUUCCAAUGUGCUGUUUUUGAGGUGUUGGAGGUUCUGUUGUAAAUGAUUCUGGCAUGGAAAUCACCCUUUCUCUGUGCAUUUAAAUAAGGUAGCGCUUGUUCUGGUCGUGUAACGACUAGUUAAAGACUCGGUGGACCAGAGAGACACACACACACACACACACAGAUUUUCCUUAAAGCACAAUUCCGAAUGUAAAAGUGAAACGAAGAAAUGUUUACAUUCCUGAACUUGCUCUUGUGUGACGUGUAGAUAUGGAGUGACCUGUUACUUUUUUGUCAUUUUAUUACUGUACACUUGGAAAAAAUGAUUUAUUUUAGAGAGAGAAAGAGAGAGAGAGAUUAAAAUUUUUAUUUUUAUUUUUUUAGACAUGUUACCAGGAAGGCUCGCCAACCAGCAUGAGCAGAACACACUGCGGACUUUUCAUGAUUAUUUUUUUUUUACUUUACCUCCUGUGUCAGGGUGCUACACGAAAGUUUACUCUGUUCUCUUGAAUUCAUCCUUCCAUGGGUUUGCUGGAUCACCGUAUGGUUCUUGCUGCAGUUUUCCCCACAAAGGCCUCGACAAAUCCCCAGUAAAGACCAGGGAAAAACCUGUGAGAUGUUUCCAGUUUGAAUGAAAUUAGCUAAGUCAAACUGCCUAAUGACAAUAAACAAGACGCCCUUCAUUUUCUACACUGCAGAGUGAGGCGUCUUCCUGAGCAAAGCUCUCUUUGGCUGAGCGUGCCCACACAGGAAUGGUCCAAGUCCACAAUGAAGCAGCAAAAACUAGAGUUUUCUUCUCGCAUGCUGGCUGAGAAGCUACAGUAAACGAAACGACCCAUUUUCCUAACGAAGUUGAAAAGCAAACUGGUGGACACAAAAGGCGGCGACAUCAUGGCAUCAUCAGAGGAUUCCAGUACGGCAUGUACCUGUUCACCCUCAUAAACACAUCAUAAUGGAACUACCUGUCAAUGCAGCGUGUCUUUCCAACUCUGUACAGUAGAUGGCAUCGUACGCACAUGGGCUGCCAGAGAAGAAUAAGCAGGACGGAUCCGAGUUGCCACGUUAGCGACUUCUAGCUGGAUUAUUAUGCAGAUUCCUCUGGAGGAGACUCCGACAUGAAAGCAUGCAUCGCUCUUCUCAAUGAGCAGCAGGUGCUGCUGUGGGCACCUCCCCCAUCUAAAAGACCUACCAGGUGUGGGGGCAAGCAUAAGGCUCUGGUGCUCUGUGCCAAAUCUGGUUCUUGGGACAUGGAAUGCCACUUCUCUGGUGGGGAGGGGCCCCAAGCUUGUCUGGGAGGUUGAAUCAUUCUCACUACAUAGUCAGACUCAACUCGACCCACAGUUUGGGUUCUGGACCCAAACUCCUCAAGAAGGGCUGGACCUUGUUGUACUCUGGAGUUACUGCAGGGUGGUGAGCUGGUGUGGGCUUAUUGUGGGCGGGGGAGGAUGCCAGACAGACCCGGGAGACCCAAACGUGUUGUGAGGGUGUGCUGGGAACAUCUAGCAGAGUCUCCAGUUUGGCGAGUCUUCAACUCUCACCUCCGGCAGAGCUUUGCCUGCAUCCUGGGGGAGGACAAGGAUAUCAAGCCCAAAUGGGCCGUAUUCCGUGCCUCCAUUGCUGAGGCAGCCGAUCAGAGGUGCGGCUGAAAGAGGGUCGGUCGGUGCCAGUCGUGGCGGCAAUGUUCCCACCCUCACCCAUAUGGUCAAGAGCUUUGGGUCGUGACCGAAAGAAUGAGUUUGCGGGUACAAGCGGCUGAAAUGGGUUUCCUCCGUAGGGUGGCUGGACUCACAGGAGCUCGGUCAUCCAGGAGGGGCUCAGAGUACAGCCGCUGCUUCUUCACAUCAAGAGGAGCUGGCUCGGGCAUCUAGUCCGGAUGCCUCCCGGACGCCUCCCUGGUGAGGUGUUCCGGCCAGGAGAAGGCCCCCGGGUAAGACCUAUAGGACACGCUGGAGGGAUUAUGUCUCACAGCCGGCCUGGGAACGCCUUGUGUCCUCCCGGUGGAACUGGAAGAGGUGGCCCGGGACCGGGAAGUCUGGACUCCCCUACUGAGACUGCUGCCCCCCGCCACACGGACCCGGAUAAGCAGAGGAAAAUGGAUGGACAUCACGGAAAGAAAAUGUACAAAGAUUAUUUACGCAGAAAGUUGAAAUAUUUUGGCAAUUUUUUCUAAAAUAGCAAAAACGGGGGGGAAAAGAGCAAAGACUGAAGUUGCU